GAGAAGCAGACUCUACGACGUGGAGCUUGAGCCCAGGACCCGGAGAUCAUCACCUGAGCUGAAGGUAGAUGCUCAACCAACUGAGUCACACAGGUGCCCCAAGAUUUUUUUUAUUUUUAAGUAAUCUCUACGUCAAACUUUGGGGCUUGAACUCACAACCCCGGGGUCAGGGGUCACAUGCAUCACCGGCCGGGCGUCCCGUCGUAUAAUGCUUUCCAUGCUUGUGUGUGUGCGAACACACGAAUAUCUGAUCUAAAUACGUGACUGAAAGCCGUGCGUUCCCCAAGGUCUGUGAAGCCCUUGAGAUAAUCCGUGGUCUAGGUUGAUUCUUACGUACGCGGCCAAGAUGGCAAGUGUAGAAGUAACUUUCUAAAACAAAAAAGGGCUGUUAGGGAAAUGAAUUUUCCGUCGUUUUGGGUCGAGUCUAAGCUGUGCGUUGACAGCGUCGAGAAGGGUCACCGAGCUCGCAGAGGAGUGAAGGCCGCAGGCCCGGGUGACGGCCUCAGGCGGCCGUAGGACCCCAGGUGGCACCCAGCGCACUGUCCACCGGGGCGCCCUGGGGCGCUGCAGCCCUUCGGCGUGCAGGGUGCACCCGGCAGUGUGCUGGUUCCGUGUGGGUGCGCUCACCCCGGGGGACCAAGGGCGCACAGAGGGGCCGCGGCCGGUGGUGCUGGCCUGGCGUCCUGGGAGGGUUGCGCCCUGGCCCCGCUGCUCCCGAGCUGCCCUCCCAGCGGAUCGGGUCCGAGGGUGCCCACCCCGGGCAGGUGCAGCGGCCGGGGCUCCUGGGGGCCGGGCCGGCCCUGUGCUCCGACAUCGCGGCCCGCCCGCCACCCAGCGUCUCCGCUGUGACCUUCUAGUGACAGGACAGUGUGCAACUCUGCUGUGGAUAUUUGGGGCUGUUCCUUGUCCAGGCCCGUGGCGCCCCAAGCCCCCUCUCCCGGCCGCCGGGGGCCCUGAGGACAGGAGCCGGGUGCAGGACACGGAGGCCUCUCCGCGACUCGUGCUAAGUACCACGGUGCCCGCCCCGGUCACACCCGGUGCCCCUGCCCGCGGGCUGCGCUCCUUGGGUUCCUGCGGCCCUGGGCGGGUGUCCCGACACGCCGGCCGCGUGCCCUGCUGUCCCCCUCGGGCGACGGAGCCUACAAGUCUGCCUUCGUCCCCGCUUCCUUCUCGCUGCCUCCUCCUGCACUUCCUCUUCCUCCUCCACUCCUCCCCCUCUUCCUCAUCCACUACUCCCCUUCCUCCUCUUCCACUCCUCCUCCUCCUCUUCCUCUGCCUCAUCCACUCCUCCUCCCUUCCUCCUCCUCCUCCUCUUCCUCUUCCACUCCUCCUCCUCUUCCUCUUCCACUCCUCCUCAUCUGCCAGUCCGUCUCCUCUUCCUCUUCCACACCUUCUCUUUCUCUUCCUCUUCCACUCCUUCUCCCCUUCAGUUCCUCUUCUAC
rnacentral:lncRNA from 12 species